GUGGGGAAUAUUGGACAAUGGGCGCAAGCCUGAUCCAGCCAUGCCGCGUGAGUGAUGAAGGCCCUAGGGUUGUAAAGCUCUUUCACCGGAGAAGAUAAUGACGGUAUCCGGAUAAGAAGCCCCGGCUAACUUCGUGCCAGCAGCCGCGGUAAUACGAAGGGGGCUAGCGUUGUUCGGAAUCACUGGGCGUAAAGCGCACGUAGGCGGAUCUUUAAGUCAGGGGUGAAAUCCCGAGGCUCAACCUCGGAACUGCCUUUGAUACUGGGGAUCUCGAGUCCGGGAGAGGUGAGUGGAACUGCGAGUGUAGAGGUGAAAUUCGUAGAUAUUCACAAGAACACCAGUGGCGAAGGCGGCUCACUGGCCCGGUACUGACGCUGAGGUGCGAAAGCGUGGGGAGCAAACAGGAUUAGAAACCCUGGUAGUCC
rnacentral:rRNA from 1 species